GGAGAGGAGAUGCCAACGACUGUAUGUACAUUAUAUUCUAACUGUUCCCAUGUGAGAGCCAGACAUGAGGACACUAGUCUGUGUGACGGGAGAGUUCUGGGCAUUUUGGGAAGAGAAAUGUCGCUUCCCCUCCUGGAGACCCCGCGCCCCUUGGGGUGAGUAGCUGAGGCUUUCCCUCCGCAGGCCCCUUCUUCUCCUGUGCGAAGCCCUGGCAGGUGGCUGUGGGGGUGACUCUCCUGGCUCUGUUUGGAACCCUGGUCGGGGCGGUAUUCUUCUGGCGACAAUACAAGAAAAUCUGGGCCUUGAGCCAUGAGAAGGAGAGCGAGCGAGCUGAGAAAGAAGCAGCACAGGGGAAGGAGCAACAAGAGCGAAGCGCCAAAGAGACGCUGGAGUUGUUGCUCAGGUGGACAAAGCAGCAGAUCAUAGCGGGUGACAGGUCUCAGGCCUAUGCUGAGUGGAAGAUGGCCCUUUACCAACCUGGUGAGUGAGUCACUGUGUGUUCCCUGGGACAACG